CCUUUUUUGAUCAUACUUGACGUGUUUAUGCAAACCUUCUAAACACUUUGGCAAUUGGAAUUAAAUUAGUAACAAUGAAAGCAUAUGUUUUAUGUAUUUUAGCAGUUUCAUGCUUCUUAGUAGAGAGCAAGGCAACGGGCAUCCAGUUUCUUAGCAAAUUUGAUGACGAAAAUGUGGAGUUGGAAAUCGCACCUAUAAACGCAGAUGCAGAUGAGUUCAUUGCA